GGCGGGGCCACAUCUGGAAGUCUGGUGUAACAGACACAACCAACACAGACACACACCAACACAAAACAGACAUCAAACAACCACGCAGAGGCGUAACCCCAGGGAGGUAGCGAAAUGUGUUUGUGUUUUGGUUUCUUGUUAUUGUACUGUGUGUGUACUGUAUUGAGUGUAGUGUCUGUUGUUAGCCAGAAGAGGAUGGGCCCUCUUUUGAGUCUUGGUUCCUCUCAACGUUUCUUUCUCAUGCCCUAUGGAGUUUUUCCUUGCCACUAUUACCCUUGAUCCAUCCACAUGUGCUGUGUGCCCUGCACAUCCUGUCUGUGACGAUAAGCGGCCUUUCAUUACAUCACCUUCAAUCCACCUGAUAACAAAUUAGUAUAAUUAAUAAAAUGUGGCCAGAUCUUUGUUGCUUGUGUUAGAAAAAUUAUCAUUUCAGAAUUAAAGAUUGAAAGUGACUGUCACAUUCAGAUGGUUGUACAAACAUAAUCUCUUCAGCAGUUCUGCUUGGACUAUACAAUUGAUUCUUAACCACGAUUUAAUAACUUUUAAAAACUGGACCACAUAUGAGCUUGAACAUUGCCCCUGUAAAACAAAGUACAGCAGGGUCUUUGUGAUUUGAUUAAAUGUCAUCUUUUCAGAUUUCCUUGGAACUGUGAUUAAAUGUCAUCUUUUUUGUGCCUCAGGCAGCUAACUGGGGGAGAUGUUUGUGUUUUAGUGCCAGAUACCAACUUUACAAGAGCAUUGUAUCAAUUUGAAAAACAGAACUGGUGAAUGUGGUUAACGUUGGGAAGGAAACUUUAGUGUCAUACUCAAAUCUCUCACAGGUCUCACAGAAGCACCUUCUAGGCUGUCAUGCAAUAAACACCACAAAUAAAGUUAUGAUGUGCAAAAGGCAACAUUUUAUUAUCUUAGCCCUGAAUGCAGUCCUGAUUUGGUUCUCUUAUUGCACUUGCCAAACAAAUGUUUCCGAGCACACGUAUAAUAAAUGAAAUGACAUAAGAGAAUAUUUAGAUUAUUAUUUAUUUCACUGUUCAAAAUGAUCUUAUCAAAUGUAUUCAUGGCCUCUGGAUUUUGCUUAUGGAUGUAUUCUGACAUACAGAAAAUAUUGUAAAUAAUUUGAGUUGGUGUUAAAAUGUAUCGUCUUAUUCACUUUCUUUUAAUUUUCGGUGUUAAAUCAGCAGCUAGCAUAUGCCCGCCUGGUGUGGAUGGUUUUUCAUAUCGGUGGUAGGUGUUUGUUUGUGCCUGUGGUCUACAUAAGUGAACCUGACCGUGCACAAAUGGUAACCAUCAAUUUGUUGUUGAUAACAGGAAAUCUAAGUCCACUUCCUGUAAUUGCAAAAUGAUUCACAUAUCUAUCUUUUAAAAGGUUUGCAGUGACAUUUAUCUGGAUAUUUUAUGUUGCUGAAUCUACAGUCUUGAAUGGAAAGGUUCUAGAAAUUGCUCCAGGAGAUGAUGUUUCUUUAAACUGUUCAUCCAGCACAGAGACACUUAAAUGGGAAGGACCUAAACUCGGUACCAAAAAAAUUGUUAAUUUCGGAAAGACACAGUACUUAUUUAUAAAAGACUUUCAGCUACAGGAUCAGGGACGAUAUUCCUUCCGAGGAGAAACUUUCACUUUGGAAGUUAAACAUGCCUCAGUGAAUAAUGAGCAGACCCUUUUCCGAGCCAGUGAGGGAGACUCGCUCCUUCUCUUUUGCAAAGGUUUGAGCUCCUCAUCACUACAAUCCCUACACUACAGGGAUUUGGAAACCCCACCUCCACCCUUCUGUCAAAACCAUGGAGCUUAACCAGGCGUAUACUCGCUUUAAGGAACGGCUACAUAUCCAGAAUAAGGAAAAUGACUUUUCUUUAAGCGUUUCACAUAUAGAGUGGGAUGACUCUGGGAAAUAUAUGUGUAUCCGUUCUAUCACUUCGUCGGAAGUCAGAUCGACGUCCUUUGAACUCGUAGUUGUGAAAGUGAAUGCCAACCCAGGGCAGCUAACUGAGGGAGAUGACUGUCAUAGAUUGUCGGGUUUCUCAUCAGCUGCCAACCUUACAAGUGUUUUGGAUCAACUUAAAAAACCAAGGGAGCUCACAUAACUUCACCAGCCCACAUAUCCUGAAAAACACUAGGAUGGACCAGGGAAACUGGGCAUGUGCUGUGUUUUACCAGGCUAAACUAAGAGCCAUUUUCCCAUUAACUCUCAACAUUAGCCCACAUUUCAGCUCCAGUGCAAGAGCCCCAGCUGGCACCACUAGCUAUCAAACCACAGAGCGCAUAAGGCCACUGACUCGAUUACAAACUGCACGAAAUAGUCAUAUACCCCACAGUGAUUCAUAAGCGGAGAGUCACCCACUAACAGCCCUCAUCACCUUCAUUGCUUGUACAGGCUUCAUACUUGUCAUCAUAUUCUGUCUUGUAUUGCAGAGAAAAAAGGAGAGGCCAACUGCAGAGUUGCCCACAUGUCUGAGGAAGAGUGUUACAUAUGUUGAAGUGAACUUCAGGCAGAAAUCAGUGCAUGUGUGAAUGUAGAAAUCAUGUCUUAUUGUUCAAUGGCUCCUUUAAUGCAUAAUGGAUUCGAACCAAUUUCUAAUGGCCUCCCACCCGAAGAAAAGGAAGUCAUUUAUGCAACAGUGACAUUAUCAUAAAGUUCAUUUCAGUGGAUAAUACUUUAAUACUUUAAUAUGGAAUGUUAAUACUUUAGUCAAUAACACAUUUAUAUCACAAUAGUUCUUUGCUAUAGCACACAUACAAGCACUGUUUUUAAAGUCAAAGCUUUGUGGCUUUUAAAACAACAAAGUUAAAUCUGAAUUUCCUCAGAGUUUAAAGAAGAUGUUGGAGAAUGUUUGUCUCCUUGCCUAUUUGGCUCAUAAUAAGGUAAAACAGUUUUAUUAAGAAAAAGGGAAAAGUAUUAAAACAGUUUUAUUAGGGAAAAGUAUCAAUCUCUCUUACUCACUUAAUGGUACUAUAUAAAGCAUUUAAUGGUAAUAUAUUUACACAUUCUUGAUUGUGACUUUACUAUGAAGACUUUUUUUGUUUAAAUGUUUCUCUGAAUAAUUUAAAAACCAUGCAAUGUAA